UACGGGGGGGGCAAGCGUUGUUCGGAAUUACUGGGCGUAAAGGGCUCGUAGGCGGCCAACUAAGUCGGACGUGAAAUCCCUCGGCUUAACCGGGGAACUGCGUCCGAUACUGGAUGGCUUGAGUUUGGGAGAGGGAUGCGGAAUUCCAGGUGUAGCGGUGAAAUGCGUAGAUAUCUGGAGGAACACCGGUGGCGAAGGCGGCAUCCUGGACCAACACUGACGCUGAGACGCGAAAGCGUGGGGAGCGAACAGG
rnacentral:rRNA from 1 species